GUCUCUUCGGAGGCAUUCGAUAAAAUUGUAACGAUAUAGAGAAGAUUAGCAUGGCCCCUGCUCAAGGAUGACACACAAAUUGAGAGGGGUUAUGAAUGUUUUU